GGAGGGCAAGUCUGGUGCCAGCAGCCGCGGUAAUUCCAGCUCCAAUAGCGUAUAUUAAAGUUGUUGCAGUUAAAAAGCUCGUAGUUGAACUUCUGUACGUUCCCAGUUCUGGCUUUGGUCAAGCUGUGGAGCGUGCAUCCGCUUGCAAACUUAGACCGGCCUUCACUGGUCGACUAAGGGAGUAAGCCCUUUACUUUGAAAAAAUUAGAGUGUUUCUAGCAGGCUUUGGCUCGAAUACAUUAGCAUGGAAUAAUGGAAUAGGACUUUUGUCCAUUUGGUUGGUUAUUGGACAUUAGUAAUGAUUAAAAGGGACAGUUGGGGGCAUUAGUACUUAAUAGUCAGAGGUGAAAUUCUUGGAUUUAUUAAAGACUAACUUAU
rnacentral:rRNA from 1 species